CUUAAAUGGUUGAGCAUUUGGCUGGGCAUUUACAAGUUUUUGUUUUAUUGUAACCAUAGUGAUUUUUAUUUUAUUUGCUAUGGGUUAGGUUGAACUCUGUGUAGCUUUGAAUUAUCCAUUUAUUAGGUGGUUAUGGUAGGGGUUUUUCCUUUUCAUUCAAAUGUUUAUCAUGCUCCAUCAGAGUCUUUCCUACCUGGCUUACUGUUCACAUUUUAAGUUUAGUUUAAACCGGUACAGAAAUGGGGGCUUUCUACGUUGUUUACCUUCAUUUCUCCUCUUUCUGCUUCUCGUGAGAUGGUAUUGGCUUUCUACGUUGUUUACCUUCAUUUCUCCUCUUUCUCCUCUUUCUGCUUCUACCCACUGCAUUGUAAAGAAUCAGUGAGAUGGAAACAAUUCUCUCUCAUUAGUCAUCACCCACUCAGUGGCACACCUUUUUCAUGUGCGUAUAUUGCCUCUGUUCAUAGGAAUUAGACAUUUGACAUACAAAAAGAUUUUGAUGUCUAGCCCCAUAAAACUAAAGGUCUAUAGCAUAUUUAAAUGUGUGUUUUUUGCUGAAAUAUUUAGAUCAACCAUCUAAUUAUAUUUGUCCUUUUCUGAUGAUGAAAAUACUUUUUUUCCUUCUUGUCG
rnacentral:lncRNA from 1 species